rnacentral:ribozyme from 1 species
CUUUUUUUUUUUGAAACCUUUUUUUAAAAAAAAAAAAAAAAAAAAAAAAAAAAAAAAAAUGUUGAAUUCGCCCUGAAUUGGGUUAAUUUUAAA